GAGGGCACCUUUAACACCCCCUCCGUACGUAGAAAAACAUUCGAGAGACCCAUGGGGUGGUUGCUCUAACCAAAGGGAUAGAAGUAAGCUUCGAACCCAUCCCUUCUAUGUCUGCCCCGGGCCCCACCGAAGUCAGUCCCUCAAUCCAACGUGUGGAGUGACUGGUGCCAUCCGCUCCGUGUCACCUUCACUGAACCAGGGAAGAGAGCUCUGGGAUGGACAAAAGGAACUGAUCCAAGCGCUACUGAGGACUGCUGGCUAUGCCUGUCCUUGGGUCCGCCUUAUUAUGAAGGAAUCGCCUUCAAUGGAGAUUUCAACAGAACCAGCAGCCAUACUUCCUGCUCUUGGGGUACAGGACAAAAACUGACCCUGACUGAAGUAUCCGCGAGGAAUCCAGGUCUCUGUAUAGGUACCCCACCUUCCACUCACAAACACCUAUGCGGACAAAUUCAGUCCGUGUCCAGAACGGAAGCUAAUUACUAUCUUGUACCUUCCCCGGUUGGAUGGUGGGCUUGCAAUACAAGACUUACUCCCUGUGUA
rnacentral:lncRNA from 1 species